rfam:Streptomyces viridochromogenes DSM 40736 genomic scaffold supercont1.1, whole genome shotgun sequence.
CUUCAGCGAGCCCAGCCACAGCGGGUGCUCGGCGUCGUGGUCGGCGCCGUACGUGCCCAGCAGGGCCUGCGCCUC